rnacentral:rRNA from 1 species
GACAGAGGGUGCAAACGUUGUUCGGAAUUACUGGGCGUAAAGGGCUCGUAGGCGGCCAACUAAGUCGGAUGUGAAAUCCCCAGGCUCAACCUGGGAACUGCAUCCGAUACUGGAUGGCUUGAAUUCGGGAGAGGGAUGCAGAAUUCCAGGUGUAGCGGUGAAAUGCGUAGAUAUCUGGAGGAAUACCGGUGGCGAAGGCGGCAUCCUGGACCGACAUUGACGCUGAUGAGCGAAAGCUAGGGGAGCAAACGGG